rnacentral:rRNA from 1 species
UUGUUCUGACAGCUCCCAGACACCAUAAAAUCCUGAGGGCUCCCCAGCCUGGAAGCUAAGCAGAGUCAGACCUGGCUUGAGCUUAGAUGGGUAACCUAGUGGAAAGACUGGGCC